UGGGAAGCCUGACUAGCUACUUGUUUGGAAGAAUAACCUAAAGAAAAUUCAUUGAUAUUUGGUUUACUUUAAUUUUAAGUAGUAGUUAAAAUGUAAUGGGGUGUAUAAGGUGAGAUUUGGGAAUUUCUCAUGUAAUGAAAGCCAAGAGGUACAUUUAAAAAGAUGAUAAUUUGGAGAGCUUCCUAGAUUGAUCUCUACUCAUUCAGCUUGGGGAAAAAAUGACAGGCAAAAACUUUGCGAUAUGGCAUUUCAAGCAUGGAGACAACAUUAAAAAUGGGAAAAAUUAUUUCUAUUACUUUUUAAGGACUAGCUCACCACAUCAGAUACAUUGCAAAAUGUGGGACAGAUUGCUGGUGUGGGAGCUGCUAAACCACCAACCUGCUUCUGCAGCUGGCCAAGGGAAUGGGAGAUGGAACAGACUCCUGAACUCCCUGGAAUUUCAAGAAGGACAUUUCUUCUUCAGGAAAUAUUGUUGUGUGAUGAUAGCCAUGAUACAAAGCUGGUACUGCAUAGCUGCACUUCCAAGAAACAGGAAACAAAAGAGAAGAAACGGAAAUGAGAAAAAUGUGUUACGUGGAAGAAAAGUAGAUGGCUUUGCAGUGAGAUUUAAGCAUGACAAAUCUAAUGACUUCGAGGAAAUUAAGAAUUUUUACAGCCUAACACUGCACUGGUGGGGUGAAACAUGGAGCUGUUAUCUUACCCUUAAAUCAGUGCAACAGAUGUGGAGGGGCACACAAUGGGUUCUGCACAGAAUCAAUGGAUCUCUAACUGAUUUAUGGCUUUUAAACAUUAGAGCUUCCUUAGAAUUUAUCCUGCUUCUUUCUUUUCUCUCUUUUCUUCCCCCUUUCUUUUAUUUUGUCAACUGUAUAAUGUAUCACUAUCAUUCAUACAGUGUGAAGAAUGAAGGUGAAUUCUUUUCCCAACUCCUUGCUUUUUUUUUCUUUUGUGUGAAAGAUAGGCUUUUAUGUUUCUAUUUUUUCAUCUAAGUUUAUCUACUAAAGUGUUCAAAAAUGGGGGAACUUCUGUAAAGAUCUGGAGAAAUUUCACUUUAAAGUAUAGCACAAUCAAUUUAGAAAAGCCUAUAUUGGUAAAAACUGCCUAGUGUCAUUUAUCCUUACCUAGGAUAUUUAAUUUUUAAAUACAUCUUCAGAUUCAGUGUGAAACUACUGGUUUCCAGAGAGCGAAACAAUGUGAAGGCUUAUGUUCUCAAUAGUUUUCCUUAAAUUACAUGUCCACCUUCCCCCAACCCUUUUAAUCUUUUUCUUUUAUUCUUCUCUCUCUCCCAAACUAUAUUUUAUCAUCUUAUAGGGACAGAAGGAUCAGAUCAGUAAAGUAGCUUUUUUAAAAAAAGGUUAAAGUAGAAGUUUCAAGACUUAUUCUGGUGGUAAUAUCAAAUGAAUUUUAUAAUUGUGGUGAUUUCUCUUUCACAGUUCCUGUCUUUAUUGAAAUCCUGGAAUGAAUAUCACAGGUAUGUGAUAAGUUGCAAACACUAUUUCUUUUCUUCAUUAAGGGAAAGUUUUAGGCUGUUCUGCCUUAAAAAUCUGUUUAUAGUAAUAGAAAUUGCUUCUCUUUUACCUCUUCAUUAAGGAAUAGAAUCUGAAAUGUGUGAAAGUUGAGACAAGUGAACAAAUGCGUGCAUCAUGAAUCAAGUUAUUUUCUAGUUAGCACUGCUACACUGGGAUUUAACACACCAAAAUUAUGCAUUUUAUUUUAGCACAUUUGAUGGAUUUAUCCCAACUUUUUUAAAUGCAGAAAAAUCCCCUGAUUACAAAUGUCCCAGAAUAGCUGAUUAAUAGUCAUUAACAUGUCCUGGAGAUUUGUUUGAAUCAACUCUGGACAAGGAACUCUUAGAUGUAAAUAUUGUCCAAAAGCAAUAAGGAAAUUUUUAUCCAAUUCUAUGCCAAACACACUCAAGGUUUUCUUGCACUGAUAAUUUGUCAGAUAAUAUUAUUUUUGGGGUUAUUUCUGAGCGCAUUAUUUAACAGA
rnacentral:lncRNA from 1 species